GGGGAUGUGGCUCAGCUGGGAGAGCACUGCCUUCGCAAGGCAGGGGUCGAGGGUUCGAAUCCCUUCAUCUCCACCA
rnacentral:tRNA from 2 species